UUUUUAAGGGUUGCUGAAUCAUAGAAUAAUCGGCAACGCUCAAUUUUAUGUAUAGCUACGCUUUUAAGUGUGCUGUAUUUAUAAUUAAAAAGCAAACACUUUAUCAGUGUGCCUUAAAUAUUCUCAAAAAAAAUUCAGCUAAAUUUUGUAUUCCCUCCAUUUUGCUUUUAGGGAAAAUUUCCUCCCUAAAAUUCAUCAGGAGAAAAACUACGACUUCUCUCCUCCCUAAAAUUUCCCCUCAUAGAUUCCGAAAGACAUGAGAUUUUCCUCCUCCCCAACCCCUUUCUCGCUUCAGCACUUCAGGGUUUUGGAUGCCGCCAUCAUCUAGCUCGCCAUGACGCCGCUGCCAUCUCAGAGUACUCACAAAGUGGAAGAGCCAUAGAGAAUUCUGAUGUGUAUAGCUUUGGACUUCUCCUUUUGGAGCUUGUGACAGGUCAAAAGGUUCAAACCUGAAACUAAAAAGAACGAUGAUGCCACACCAAAUUCGACAGCCGAUUAGCUGCGAAUUCAGUUGAUAUUGUUUCAAAUUCUUCUGGCUCAGCUCAUGCUCCAAUUAAGGAAAAUGUGGAUGAUCCAAAUUGGAAUUGGGGUGGCCACAAGUCAAUUUGAUUUAAGGAAGGGAAUGAUGAAGGCUUUUUGAACAAUUGUGAUGUUUGAAUUUACGUUUAGUUUUGUGGAAGUUAUUUCUAGUGCACAUCUUGACAUAUUGCUUUAUUAGUGUGUAGUACAAGACAUGUUCUUCUUCCGAAGUUUAUUGCAAAUUUAUACAUUUGAUUAUUAUUAUU